CCUACGGGAGGCAGCAGUGGGGAAUAUUGGACAAUGGGCGAAAGCCUGAUCCAGCAAUACCGCGUGUGUGGAGAAGGCCUUCGGGUUGUAAAGCACUUUAAGCAGGGAAGAAAAAAUUCAAGCUAACAUCUUGAGUCUUGACGGUACCUGAAGAAUAAGCACCGGCUAACUCUGUGCCAGCAGCCGCGGUAAUACAGAGGGUGCAAGCGUUAAUCGGAUUUACUGGGCGUAAAGCGUGUGUAGGUGGUUGGGAAAGUCAAUUGUGAAAGCCCCGGGCUCAACUCGGGAACUGCUUUUGAUACUGUCUGACUAGAAUUCGGUAGAGGGAGGCGGAACUCCAGGUGUAGCGGUGAAAUGCGUAGAUAUCUGGAAGAACACCAAUGGCGAAGGCAACCUCCUGGGCCUGAAUUGACACUGAGACACGAAAGCGUGGGGAUCAAACAGGAUUAGAUACCCUGGUAGUCCACGCCGUAAACGAUGACAACUUGACGUCGGUUUGCUCUGCGAAUCGGUGUCGUAGCUAACGCGAUAAGUUGUCCGCCUGGGGGAGGUACGGCGCGAGUAGUAACGUAAAGUAAGUAGACGCGUGAGACGUGCGACGGACGACGACGACGGGAGGAGG
rnacentral:rRNA from 1 species